rnacentral:rRNA from 1 species
GUACCCGCUGAACUUAAGCAUAUCAAUAAGCGGAGGAAAAGAAACCAACAGGGAUUCCCCUAGUAACGGCGAGUGAAGCGGGAAAAGCUCAAUUUUGAAAUCUCACUGGUUUCCAGUGCGAAUUGUAGUUUCAAGGAACGUUUUCGGGGACGGCCUGGGUCCAAGUCCGUUGGAAUACGGCAUCAGAGAGGGUGAGAAUCCCGUUCGAUCCGGUGUCCGUUCCUAUGUGAUACGUUUCCAAAGAGUCGGAUAGUUUGGGAUUGCUGUCCAAAAUGGGUGGUAAAUACCAUCUAAAGCUAAAUAUUGGCGAGAGACCGAUAGCGAACAAGUACCGUGAGGGAAAGAUGAAAAGAACUUUGAAAAGAGAGUUAAAAGUACGUGAAAUUGUCAAAAGGGAAGCGCUUGAAACCAGU